UACGUAGGGCGCAAGCGUUGUCCGGAAUUAUUGGGCGUAAAGAGCUCGUAGGCGGCCAGUUGCGUCUGCUGUGAAAUCCCGGGGCUCAACCCCGGGCGUGCAGUGGAUACGGGCUGGCUAGAGGCAGGCAGGGGAGAACGGAAUUCCCGGUGUAGCGGUGAAAUGCGCAGAUAUCGGGAGGAACACCGGUGGCGAAGGCGGUUCUCUGGACCGUAACUGACGCUGAGGCGCGAAAGCGUGGGGAGCAAACAGG
rnacentral:rRNA from 1 species